AGUGAACGCUGGCGGUAGGCCUAACACAUGCAAGUCGAACGGCAGCACAGUAAGAGCUUGCUCUUACGGGUGGCGAGUGGCGGACGGGUGAGGAAUACAUCGGAAUCUACUUUUUCGUGGGGGAUAACGUAGGGAAACUUACGCUAAUACCGCAUACGACCUACGGGUGAAAGCAGGGGAUCUUCGGACCUUGCGCGAUUGAAUGAGCCGAUGUCGGAUUAGCUAGUUGGCGGGGUAAAGGCCCACCAAGGCGACGAUCCGUAGCUGGUCUGAGAGGAUGAUCAGCCACACUGGAACUGAGACAAGGUCCAGACUCCUACGGGAGGCAGCAGUGGGGAAUAUUGGACAAAGGGCGCAAGCCUGAUCCAGCAAUACCGCGUGGGUGAAGAAGGCCUUCGGGUUGUAAAGCCCUUUUGUUGGGAAAGAAAAGCAGCAGGUUAAUACCCCGCUGUUCUGACGGUACCCAAAGAAUAAGCAACGGCUAACUUCGUG
rnacentral:rRNA from 1 species